GAUGAACGCUAGCGGCAGGCUUAACACAUGCAAGUCGAGGGGCAGCGCGGGAUAGCAAUAUCCUGGCGGCGACCGGCGGAAGGGUGCGUAACGCGUGAGCGACAUGCCCGUUGCCCGGGGACAACCGGUGGAAACGCCGACUAAUCCCCGAUGGGAUAUUGUGCCGCAUGGCACGAUAUUGAAAGUUACGGCGGCGACGGAUUGGCUCGCGUCCGAUUAGCUGGUUGGCGGGGUAACGGCCCACCAAGGCUGCGAUCGGUAGGGGUUCUGAGAGGAAGGCCCCCCACAAUGGGACUGAGACACGGCCCAUACUCCUACGGGAGGCAGCAGUGAGGAAUAUUGGUCAAUGGGCGGAAGCCUGAACCAGCCAUGCCGCGUGCGGGAAGGAGGCCCUAUGGGCUGUGAACCGCUUUUGCCUGGGGGCAAUAAGGGCGUCGCGCACGUCUGAUGAGAGUACCAGGCGAAUAAGCAUCGGCUAACUCCGUG
rnacentral:rRNA from 1 species